AGCGUAACAAGGUCUCCGUAGGUGAACCUGCGGAGGGAUCAUUACACAAAUAUGAAGGCGGGCUGGAACCUCUCGGGGUUACAGCCUUGCUGAAUUAUUCACCCUUGUCUUUUGCGUACUUCUUGUUUCCUUGGUGGGUUCGCCCACCACUAGGACAAACAUAAACCUUUUGUAAUUGCAAUCAGCGUCAGUAACAAAUUAAUAAUUACAACUUUCAACAACGGAUCUCUUGGUUCUGGCAUCGAUGAAGAACGCAGCGAAAUGCGAUAAGUAGUGUGAAUUGCAGAAUUCAGUGAAUCAUCGAAUCUUUGAACGCACAUUGCGCCCUUUGGUAUUCCAAAGGGCAUGCCUGUUCGAGCGUCAUUUGUACCCUCAAGCUUUGCUUGGUGUUGGGCGUCUUGUCUCUAGCUUUGCUGGAGACUCGCCUUAAAGUAAUUGGCAGCCGGCCUACUGGUUUCGGAGCGCAGCACAAGUCGCACUCUCUAUCAGCAAAGGUCUAGCAUCCAUUAAGCCUUUUUUUCAACUUUGACCUCGGAUCAGGUAGGGAUACCCGCUGAACUUAAGCAUAUCAAUAAGCGGAGGAAAAGAAACCAACAGGGAUUGCCCUAGUAACGGCGAGUGAAGCGGCAACAGCUCAAAUUUGAAAUCUGGCUCUUUUAGAGUCCGAGUUGUAAUUUGCAGAGGGCGCUUUGGCUUUGGCAGCGGUCCAAGUUCCUUGGAAC
rnacentral:rRNA from 1 species